GCAAGUCGAACGGCGGCACGGGUGCUUGCACCUGGUGGCGCGGGCGAACGGGUGAGUAAUACAUCGGAACGUACCUUAUCGUGGGGGAUAACGCAGCGAAAGCUGUGCUCAUACCGCAUACGCUCUGUGGGGGCAAGCGGGGGAUCGAAAGACCUCGCGCGAUUAGAGCGGCCGAUGCCUGAUUAGCUUGUUGGUGGAGUAAAAGCCCACAAAGGCGACGAUCAGUAGCUGGUCUGAGAGGACGAUC
rnacentral:rRNA from 1 species